rnacentral:rRNA from 1 species
UAUCUCUGUAGAGUCUGCAUAUCAAUAAGCGGAGGAAAAGAAACUAAUAAGGAUUCCCCUAGUAACGGCGAGUGAAGCGGGAAGAGCUCAAAUUUGAAAUCUUCAAGGGUUUCCCUUGACGAAUUGUAGUUUAUAGAAGUGUUUUCUGUUAGAGAGGUGGUAAAAGUUCUUUGGAAUAGGACAUCAUAGAGGGUGAGAAUCCCGUAUUUGAUCACCUUCUACUAACGUUGUGAUACACUUUCAACGAGUCGGAUUGUUUGGGAAUGCAGUCCAAAAUGGGUGGUAAAUUUCAUCUAAAGCUAAAUAUUGGCGAGAGACCGAUAGCGAACAAGUACCGUGAGGGAAAGAUGAAAAGAACUUUGAAAAGAGAGUUAAACAGUACGUGAAAUUGUCAAAAGGGAAGCGUUUGACACCAGUGUCGUUUUCUCGAAAAUCAAUUAAAAAUGGCUCGAUUUUGUAUUGUUGAGACCUUAAAAGCUCACUGUACAUUUUCCGUGUCUUUUUUAAUGCACUUUUCGUUUAACAAGUCAACAUCAGUUUCUUUUGUUGUAAAAGGGUCAUUGGAAGGUGGCUUUCUUUUCGGAGAAAGUGUUUAUAGCCUUUGGCCUCUGCAAUCGGAGAGACUGAGGUCUGCAGCGUAGACUCUUCGGGGUUAGAUACAUUUGUGCUAAGUUAUAGCUUUUUAUAGACAACUUGUUGACUAUAAUUAGUCUUGUAGCUUACUCGCUUAUGCUAUUUUACCUACGCUUAGGAUGUUGAUGUGAUACUGCGAGCA